GAUGAAGAACGCAGCGAAAUGCGAUAAGUAAUGUGAAUUGCAGAAUUCAGUGAAUCAUCGAAUCUUUGAACGCACAUUGCGCCCCAUGGUAUUCCGGGGGGCAUGCCUGUUCGAGCGUCAUUUCACCACUCAAGCCUCGCUUGGUAUUGGGCAACGCGGUCCGCCGCGUGCCUCAAAUCGACCGGCUGGGUCUUCUGUCCCCUAAGCGUUGUGGAAACUAUUCGCUAAAGGGUGUUCGGGAGGCUACGCCGUAAAACAACCCCAUUUCUAAGGUUGACCUCGGAUCAGGUAGGGAUACCCGCUGAACUUAAGCAUAUCAAUAAGCGGAGGA
rnacentral:misc_RNA from 1 species